rnacentral:rRNA from 1 species
UACGAAGGGUGCUAGCGUUGUUCGGAAUUACUGGGCGUAAAGCGCGCGUAGGCGGCUAUUCAAGUCAGGGGUGAAAUCCUUGGGCUCAACCCAAGAAUUGCCUUUGAAACUGUAUAGCUAGAGUGUCGGAGGGGAUAGCGGAAUUCCUAAUGUAGAGGUGAAAUUCGUAGAUAUUAGGAGGAACACCGGUGGCGAAGGCGGCUAUCUGGACGACAACUGACGCUGAGGCGCGAAAGCACGGGGAUCAAACAGG